CAACAAAAAGGCCCAGCAAAUUGACGCGAAUCCCCGAUGGACGGAGCCCGGUCUCCUCGCGGCGGGACGAGGGAAAGCGGCCUCCUCGGCGCUUUGACCGAAACUCUUCGGAGGCUUCAAGCUGUCAGGGGCCGCAGGGGUCAUCAUCACGACGGGGCGGCGGGAGGGAGGGGACGCAUGGGAGGACAGGGGCAGGUGGGCGGCAACGAAGGGACGCUCAGUCCCGCGGAAGGCGAGGAGGACGUUGAGGAAAGAGAGUGCCAGCGGAGGGUUCUGGGAGCGUUGAGGGAGCUGAGUGUUUUGCACGCAGACCGAGUGGCGGCGUGGAGAGGAGUCCUCAGAGAAGGUGCCCACAGGUCCUCAGCGGGGGGGCGUGAUCAGCAACGUCCGCCCACAACAGCCGAGGGCGCCGUGGCACCUCGUUCACGCUCCUUCGGUGACACUUUCCUCAGCGUCGAGAAGAACGUAGACAACAUUGUGGACACGAUGAACGCAACCGUAGCCCGGCUGGACGAAGAAAUCCUCAGGUC
ensembl:lncRNA